CGAGUCGGCCGGGUGAUCGCGGUGGGCCCCACGGGCGCAUCGAGGAAAGUCCGGACUCCACAGGGCAGGGUGGUGGGUAACGCCCACCCGGGGCAACCCGCGGGAAAGUGCCACAGAGAGCAGACCGCCAGGCGUGAUCCUGGCAAGGGUGAAACGGUGGCGUAAGAGACCACCAGCGUGCAGGGUGACCUGUGCGGCUCGGCAAACCCCACCUGGAGCAAGGCCACAUGAACCGGGCAACCGGUUCGAGCAGACGGGCGGCCCGCCUGAUGUCUGCUGGUAGGCCGCAGCAGGCCGUCGGCAACGGCGGUCGCAGAGGGAUGAUCGCCGCCCGCCACGCGGGCACAGAAUCCGGCUUAUAGGCCGACUCGCCCC
rnacentral:RNase_P_RNA from 1 species